rnacentral:rRNA from 1 species
CACGUAGGGCGCGAGCGUUGUCCGGAAUUAUUGGGCGUAAAGAGCUCGUAGGCGGCCUGUUGCGUCCGCUGUGAAAGCCCGGGGCUUAACCCCGGGUCUGCAGUGGAUACGGGCAGGCUAGAGGUAGGUAGGGGAGAAUGGAAUUCCCGGUGUAGCGGUGAAAUGCGCAGAUAUCAGGAGGAACACCGAUGGCGAAGGCAGGUCACUGGGCCGCAACUGACGCUGAGGAGCGAAAGCAUGGGGAGCGAACAGG